GAGAGAGAGAAAGAGAGAGAGGGGGGAUAUUCUGGACUGAGGAUGUUGUCCUGGUGUCUGCUGGAGUCGGGGUCAGGAGCUUUUCCCCUCUGACACGCAUUCAUUGAUGAAGCUGGAUUAUUGUGAUGUUUUCAUCAGCCGUUUGGAUUCUCAUUGUGACGGCACCCAUUCACUGCUGAGGAUCCAUUGGUCAUUUCACCACAGACCGAGCGCCGAACACAAGCUAACCACAAGAGCUGAUCAAAAAAGGUACACGAAGAACUGUAAUUAGAUCGCAUGCACUGA